UACGUAGGCAGCGAGCGUUGUUCGGAGUUACUGGGCGUAAAGGGUGUGUAGGCGGUUUUCUAAGUUUGGUGUGAAAUCUCCCGGCUCAACCGGGAGGGUGCGCCGAAAACUGGGAGACUAGAGUGCGGGAAGGGAGAGUAGAAUUCCUGGUGUAGCGGUGAAAUGCGUAGAUAUCAGGAGGAAUACCGGUGGUGUAGACGGCUCUCUGGACCGCGACUGACGCUGAGACACGAAAGCGUGGGUAGCAAACAGG
rnacentral:rRNA from 1 species